rnacentral:rRNA from 1 species
GACAGAGGAUGCAAGCGUUAUCCGGAAUGAUUGGGCGUAAAGCGUCUGUAGGUGGCUUUUUAAGUCCGCCGUCAAAUCCCGGGGCUCAACCCUGGACAGGCGGUGGAAACUACCAAGCUGGAGUACGGUAGGGGCAGAGGGAAUUUCCAGUGGAGCGGUGAAAUGCGUAGAUCUUGGAAAGACCACCAAUGGCGAAGGCGGCCAACUGGACCAUUACUGACGCUGAGGCGCGAAAGCGUGGGGAGCAAACAGG